UUAGAAAUUCAAAAUUGUGACUAAAAAGAGGCCUAUGUAGCCAUGUGACUUGAAUUCACUGUCUGCUGUAGCGGUGGCCAUGUUUAGCUCUGUGAGUUGCCUGGGCCGUUAGGGUUAUGAAGCAGGCAGGGCUUUUUUUUUGUCCCUGGUCACAUGGCCAAACAAGAGUCGAGGCGGUGCCAAGUUUUUCUGUUAGUGCUGGUGGAGAAUCUGCUGCUGCCUGAGCUUCAGGACUAGAAUUGCUUCUAAUAUAUUGACUAUCAAUGGCUUUGGGUGAGGAAUGAGCUGCUUCAAACUCACUGUAACAUCAUAGAGAAGAUCCCAUCUGGAAAAGCAUGAAAGGAACAUCGGUAAAAACCAACAUCUUCCUCAGUGGUUUUGCUGAAAAUCAAGGUCUUAUUGUUUGAGAUAACUAUUCUGGAUUUUAAUUUCUCUCUGCAAAGUCUUGACUGAAACUGGCAAAGAGCCCUGACUGGAAACUGCAAAAAUUCUG